rnacentral:rRNA from 1 species
CACGAAGUUAGCCGGGGCUUCUUCUCCGGUUACCGUCAUUAUCUUCACCGGUGAAAGAGCUUUACAAUCCUAAGACCGUCAUCACUCACGCGGCAUGGCUGGAUCAGGCUUGCGCCCAUUGUCCAAUAUUCCCCACUGCUGCCUCCCGUAGGAGUUUGGUCCGUGUCUCAGUCCCAAUGUGGCUGAUCAUCCUCUCAGACCAGCUAUGGAUCGUCGCCUUGGUAGGCCUUUACCCCACCAACUAGCUAAUCCAACGCGGGCUCAUCCAUCACCGAUAAAUCUUUCACCUCUCGGUCGUAUACGGUAUUAGCUCCAGUUUCCCGGAGUUUGUUCCGUAGUGAUGGGUAGAUUCCCACGCGUUACUCACCCGUCUGCCGCUCGUAUUGCUACGCGCUCGACUUGCAUGUGUUAAGCCUGCCGCCAGCGUUCGUUCUGAGCCAGGAUCAAACUCU